rnacentral:lncRNA from 1 species
UCUGAGUCGAGUCGGGUCUGGUGUAAGCUGCUGUCGAAUCGAGUCGGCGGUGAGGGUGGCGACCGUGGCACCGCCGCGGUUGCCAGAGCUCGGUGAGGGUGGCUUCUGAGAGGACAGGGUCUGGCUGGAGAAGAGAGAGAGGUUGUUGUGUUGAGCUAGUCGAGAGGGAGAGAUAGAGGGCGGCGAUGGUAGCGGCAGGAAGCUGCUGCCGUCGGCCAAGGUUGAGCAAGGGAGGCUAGGGCACGGUGGCGGCGAAGAGUCAUCAUCGUCGCCUGAAAUUGGAGAGGGGGCGCGGCGGCAGCGGCUUCUCGCUGCUGACUCACCGGAGUUCCAGAGAGGAAUCGCGGCGGCGCGAUUUGGUGAGGAAGAGGGAGAUGGUGAUGGCUG